rnacentral:rRNA from 1 species
CCUACGGGCGGCAGCAGUGGGGAAUAUUGCACAAUGGGGGGAACCCUGAUGCAGCAACGCCGCGUGGGUGAAGAAGUACUUCGGUAUGUAAAGCCCUGUCAGCAGGGAAGAAAAUGACGGUACCUGACCAAGAAGCCCCGGCUAACUACGUGCCAGCAGCCGCGGUAAUACGUAGGGGGCAAGCGUUAUCCGGAUUUACUGGGUGUAAAGGGAGCGUAGACGGCAAGGCAAGUCUGGAGUGAAAGCCCGGGGCUCAACCACGGGACUGCUUUUGAAACUGUGUUGCUGGAGUGCAGGAGGGGUAAGCGGAAUUCCUAGUGUAGCGGUGAAAUGCGUAGAUAUUAGGAGGAACACCGGUGGCGAAGGCGGCUUACUGGACUGUAACUGACGUUGAGGCUCGAAGGCGUGGGGAGCAAACAGGAUUAGAUACCCCUGUAGUC